rnacentral:rRNA from 1 species
AUUGAACGCUGGCGGCAGGCUUAACACAUGCAAGUCGAACGAGUGGCGGACGGGUGAGUAAUGCUUGGGAAUCUAGCUUAUGGAGGGGGAUAACUACGGGAAACUGUAGCUAAUACCGCGUACCAUAGGAUGAGCCCAAGUGGGAUUAGGUAGUGGGGGGGUAAAGGCUUACCAAGCCGACGAUCUCUAGCUGGUCUGAGAGGAUGACAAGCAAAACUGGUACUGGAACACGGCCCAAACUCCUACGGGAGGCAGCCGUGGGGAAACAUCCGAAAUGGACGAAAGUUGACGGAGCAACGCCGCGGGAGUGAUGAAGGCCUUCGGGUUGUAAAGCUCUGUUAAUCGGGAGACGGUACCGGAAUAGGAAGCCACGGCUAACUACGUGCCAGCAGCCGCGGUAAUAC